AUGUGGGUGGCAGGGGGCGGUCCUCUCAUGCCCAGGCCCUGUCUCACUGGCUAGGGCAGAGCCCAAGGCCAGGAUAAAAGGGCCCGUGGACCAGAGCAUCAGCAUUCACUCCCUCCUGAGGCAGUGACCGAUCCUGUGCUGCUUGUGUGCCCGCUUCUGAACGCCCGCCCACCUGCCCACCAGCCCAGAUGUCCUGCCAGCAGAGCCAGCAGUGCGUCCCCAAGUGCCCUCCCAAGUGCUGCACCCCCAAGUGCCCUCCCAAGUGCUGCACCCCAAAAUGCCCUCCUAAGUGUCCCCCCAAGUGCCCUCCAGUCUCCUCCUGCUGCAGUGUCAGCUCUGGGGGCUGCUGUGGCUCUGGGGGCGGGGGCUGCUGUAGCUCUGGGGGUGGGGGCUGCUGUAGCUCUGGGGGUGGUGGCUGCUGCCUGAGCCACCACAGGUCCCACAGGCCUCGCCUCUUCAGACACAGAAGCUCUGGGGGUGGAGGCUGCUGUAGCUCAGGGGGCUCCAGCUGCUGUGGAGGGAGCUCUGGAGGCUCCAGCUGCUGUGGAGGGAGCUCUGGAGGGGGCUCCAGCUGCUGCGGAGGGGGCUCCAGCUCUGGAGGGGGCUGUGGUCAGUCCUCUGGAGGCUGCUGCUGAAGUGGACUUUGAGCCAAGAAGAGCUGAAUGGCGGGCUACCAAUGGCCAGUCCCCUCCACCUCCUCCUGCUCCUCCUGCUGGACCUUCCCCGCUGCUGAGAGGUCUGGGUGAGGCCUCUGAGUUCUGGUGCAGAGGAUCCCUAUGCCCAGGUGUCCUGGAGCCCAAAUCUCUUUCCCAAACCCACUUCCCGACUUCUUUCCCUGUAUGCCAUUAUGUGUGGCUGCCCUGGGAACUCCUGCACAGCUAUGUGUGUGCACACACCAGCCUGAUGUGAAACAAUAAAAGGAUGAUUCUGCA